GUACACUCCUGCGGGAGGCAGCAGUGGGGAAUAUUGGACAAUGGGCGCAAGCCUGAUCCAGCCAUGCCGCGUGAGUGAUGAAGGCCCUAGGGUUGUAAAGCUCUUUCACCGGAGAAGAUAAUGACGGUAUCCGGAGAAGAAGCCCCGGCUAACUUCGUGCCAGCAGCCGCGGUAAUACGAAGGGGGCUAGCGUUGUUCGGAAUUACUGGGCGUAAAGCGCACGUAGGCGGAUCGAUCAGUCAGGGGUGAAAUCCCAGGGCUCAACCCUGGAACUGCCUUUGAUACUGUCGAUCUGGAGUAUGGAAGAGGUGAGUGGAAUUCCGAGUGUAGAGGUGAAAUUCGUAGAUAUUCGGAGGAACACCAGUGGCGAAGGCGGCUCACUGGUCCAUUACUGACGCUGAGGUGCGAAAGCGUGGGGAGCAAACAGGAUUAGAUACCCGGGUAGUCCCA
rnacentral:rRNA from 1 species